UACGUAGGGGGCAAGCGUUGUCCGGAUUUAUUGGGCGUAAAGCGCGUGUAGGCGGCCAGGUAGGUCGGUUGUGAAAACUGGAGGCUCAACCUCCAGACGUCGACCGAAACCAUCUGGCUAGAGUCCGGAAGAGGAGAGUGGAAUUCCUGGUGUAGCGGUGAAAUGCGCAGAUAUCAGGAAGAACACCGAUGGCGAAGGCAGCUCUCUGGGACGGUACUGACGCUGAGACGCGAAAGCGUGGGGAGCGAACAGGAUUAGAAACCCCCGUAGUCC
rnacentral:rRNA from 1 species